rnacentral:rRNA from 1 species
CUCACACCCACCUAGAGGAGCCUGUUCUUGAAUCGAUAAUCCCCGUUCAACCUCACCACCCCUUGUUAGACCCGCCUAUAUACCGCCGUCGUCAGCUCACCCUGUGAAGGACUUAAAGUGAGCAAAAUGGGCAAAACCCAGAACGUCAGGUCAAGGUGCAGCGUAUGGGGUGGGAAGAAAUGGGCUACAUUACCUAUUGCAGGUUACUACGAAUGGGGCCGUGAAACCGGCCCCUGAAGGUGGAUUUAGCAGUAAGGGGGAAAUAGAGAGUUCUCCUGAAGCCGGCUCUGAGGCGCGC